rnacentral:misc_RNA from 1 species
UGGUUAUACUCCAAAAGAUUCAAGAGAGUGAAAAAUUCUGAGAUUGUGGCAUCUGAUAUCAUCAAAAUGCCUAAGGAGUUCAGCUAUAAAGAGCUUAAAUUGGCCACGAAAGGUUUCAUUCCAACGAGAAUUAUAGGCCGUGGUGCAUUUGGGACUGUUUACAAGGGCAUUUUAUCGGAUACCGGAGGCAUUGUGGCAGUCAAGAG